rnacentral:rRNA from 1 species
GACGAACGCUGGCGGCGUGCUUAACACAUGCAAGUCGAACGGAAAGGCCCUGCUUUUGUGGGGUGCUCGAGUGGCGAACGGGGGAGUAACACGUGAGUAACCUGCCCUUGACUUUGGGAUAACUUCAGGAAACUGGGGCUAAUACCGGAUAGGAGCUCCUGCUGCAUGGUGGGGGUUGGAAAGUUUCGGCGGUUGGGGAUGGACUCGCGGCUUAUCAGCUUGUUGGUGGGGUAGUGGCUUACCAAGGCUUUGACGGGUAGCCGGCCUGAGAGGGUGACCGGCCACCUUGGGCCUGCGAUACGGCCCAGACUCCUACCGGCGGCAGCAGUGGGGAAUAUUGCACAAUGGGCGGAAGCCUGAUGCAGCAACGCCGCGUGCGGGAUGCCGGCCUUCGGGUUGUAAACCGCUUUCGCCUGUGACGAAGCGUGAGUGACGGUAAUGGGUAAAGAAGCACCGGCUAACUACGUG